rnacentral:lncRNA from 1 species
AAGUGUGUGUGUGAGCAGUGGAAAUGGCUUAGGCUUGGCCCUCUUGGCAGUGAUGCUUGUUUUGUCAGAGCCGUGAACAACCUGUAAACCAAGGACAUAAGCAUGGCAUGUUAAGGUGUGUGUGUGUGUGUGUGUGUGUGUGUGUGUGUGUGUGUGUGUGUGUGUGUGUGUGUGUGUGUGUGAUGAGAAAUGGAACAACUGGAGUUGUUCCAAAAUAAUGUGUUCAAAAUGCAGGCACAUCGGAUUUCUAAAAUCAUGUGAACUAAUAGUCAAGUGAUCCUGGGGAUUUCUUGGGCUUGAAAGAGCUGAUGUUUUCUUUAAGGGGUAUCUAUCGAUUGAACAAUUUAUACUUGUGAGAUGUUUUCAAAAGUGAACAGUUCUUGUAUUUACAUGAAGGCCCAAAAGCGUCUUCCCCAUUGCCCUUUUUUUCUUUGAAUGCCAUUUCGACUUCAUGGAGAGGAUUUUCAUGUUCAAAUGUGUAUUGUUGUACAAUAUGUUACCAUUUGCAGAUUUUGUAUUUUUAUUUCACAAAAGCACGCAAUAGAACACCUCUAAUAUAUGUACAAAGCAUCUUCUGACAUUAGCACGGCAAUUCCAAAUGUCUUGGCAGUAGCAAUUAAAGGUGACAUAUUACACCACCAGGUGUGAUAAGCUGUUGUAACGGAUGGUCACACUCACACCUGGUGGUAUAAUACGUCACCUUUAACAAUGCAUGCGACAUUUGGAAGCAUUCGCAUGACCAGCUGAUGGCAAUAUAUUUAGGGGCCUGCCACCUGCUCUCAGCCAACGCGGGAGCCAGUAGUCUUCCAUACUGGGGUAUUGAUUCAGACAUGUCCCUCACCCACAGUGCUGGCUAGGGCUCUCCUUGAGAAGGCUGAGCCUCUCCUGGACGGAGAGAUCCUCCUCAUUAGUUUCUCCGAUGGGUACCGUCAGGCGGCAGCCAUUGCAAUUAAGCAGCUGGACAAGAUUGGCGAGACCUUCCACUUUGAUCCCAACAACAGGGAACCACUCACCCAGACUGCCACGACCGCCCUGGGAUCCAAAGUGUUCUGAAAUACACAAAAAUCGCUAUCCUCACCUGCCCGUUUGAGCGCCUAAUGCCCAAGACCAAGCAUAUCUACAGAGCACUUCAGAAGUACGAGAAGAUCAAGCAGGUCAGUUGGAGAUGAUCAGGUCAGUGUUGCUACAUUGACGCCCUCCCAACAUAAGUGUUGAAUGGAGUGCUGUUUGGCUGAAUGUCCCUCCAACUGAACUGACUUUGAACGUUUUGGUGUUGUAUCUGCAGGUGAAGGAUAAUGGCGCCACCUUGUGCUAUCUGUCAGUGGGGCUUUGAUGACGAGGCGAACCAUCUGCUACUGCAGAAUGAGCUGCAGGGCGCUGUGUCGGAGGGCCUGAGAUUGAGGUACACCUGCUUUACGGGGCUGACACCGAGUACCUGUAUUGUGCCCCAGUCUUAACUUGUAUCGAGUCACAAUCCUUUAUUUUACUUUUAUUUUUUUGCAGCUCAUUGCCAUCGCCAGCGGAGGGCGUAUCGCUCUGCGUUUCAGUGAGCUGACGACCGAGAAGCUUGGCGUGGCCGGUGUGGUGAUCUGCU